AUAAGUCAAAUACCCUAUCUGCAAACAGACUUUCCUUUUUGUUCGUCUUGAAUAGCGCCAAUUGAAAUUCUUCCUUGUUGAUCAGCCCAUCAUCAACCACUGCACUGCUAAUCUUCUUAAAAAGCUCAUAGAGAGCUUCAAUCUCACUGACGCUAAAAACUGUCUCCCGUGCAAGGAUCUCUGGAUCUUCAAAGGCUGUUGAUUGUCUGUCCAGAUCACAACAUUUAGACAGAGAGGCACCUAAAUGCUUGAUCCCCUCUAGGCACUGCAACAUGGUAUAAUUCCUGCUUCAAAACGCUCCAUAUCUUUUGACCAUUCUCUGUUAUCGUCCUUAGUGAAUAUAAAUUGCUAAAAGUUUCUGAAGAUGAUCAAUUUCAAGCUAUUUGUCUGAAGAGAGGAGAUGAUGAACAAUGGAGGAGACAAAGGAGAAGCGACUAAAAAUAAUGAUGAAUUGAGACGGUGUGAGCAAAUGCAAA
rnacentral:misc_RNA from 1 species